UUGCCAUACAUUAAGUCUCUACACUUUCUCCUCCUACACAUGUACUACUUCAAGAUUCCCUUAGAAGAGUUCUCUCAACUUCAUCACAGUGAAUGGUCUUUAGCAGAGCAAGUGUGAUUCCAUUCUCUCACAUUUCUAGCUUCACUCAUGUCUUAGACAGUAGAGAAACAUAAAGGAUAUGUUAAUUAGUACAAAGUUCUAGCCAAGGACAGCCAGGUAGAUGAGCCCAGUUUGUUCUCUUUUGUACAGUUUUGCAUUUCUAUAUAUGCCUAUUUGUAUGUAUGUGUUUCAUUUUCAUGCUGUGUGUUUUGUUUUUACUCUGUAUCCUGACUGCAUCCAACCUAAGAAGGAGACUCUGAGUGUAGCACAGGGAACAUAUUGUAAUCAUGCUAUGACAAUGGCCAAUUCAGCAGCUACUUCUCUAAAAGGUGAAUAGAUCUCGGAAGCAAGCAUGAAAACCCUCCCUAAAAUGUCAACAAUUCCCUAGAGGACAAUGAGGCUUUCUAUGGGAAAAGCCAAUAUCUGCCUGGGGUAGAUGACGUGGGGAUGUAUGUCUGUCUCAGCUCAUCCCCUUCAUCAGACUAAACGUAGCAAGAAAAUUCAGGCUUAGAACUUGGAAAACGUCACCUGUGGGUGAAGUAUUCUUUCCAUAAAAACACCAUGAGUGCUGGCCUUGGUGGUAUACUCCUAUAAUCCUACAACUGAAAGGAGCAAAGCAGUAGGAUUACAGCGCAGCCUGGGUUGCAUGAUAAGAACCUGUCUAAAAAAUGGCUGAUAUAUAUAACUUUUACUUAUAUUUGCUGUUCUUUCUUCGGAAUAUCCCCGGACCUCUGAAUCCCAUUUGGCUCAACAUCAUGUCCUAAACUCAACUGAGGAACACCUUUGGACAUUUGUACCUGGAUUGCCCUCAAGCUUGUUUUUUGGUAUUCAUUAUGUAGACCUCCAUACUGUAAUUACAGAUGUUUCUAACCAGAACUGUCACCUGGUAGUUCUGUCAAGAGGAGCAGCCAGUCAACGUGCCACCACAUUCCAGCAACUUACCUAGGAACUGACCACAAACCAAAGUUCCAAGAUCACCUGGACACAAAGAAUCACCUCCUCAUAUUUCUGUAAAUGCUAGUUUAGCUGUACUUGUAAUCCACACUAUUUGGGAGGCUGAGGUGGGAGAAGUACUUAAAUCAAAGAACUGAGUUGACCAUCCUGAACAACAUAAUGUGACCCUAUCUCAACCCAACAAAACAUCAGGAGAUAAAUCCACAGACUUUCUAGUGAUCUUGCUGAGAAAACAGUUUUUAUUGUUAACUGUUAAGGGAUAAUGCCAUUAAUAUUUUAAAUUGAUGCUAUUUCGUUAUUUAAGCCACAAAAAAUAUUCAUUCUGAACAACACA